rnacentral:rRNA from 1 species
AUUGAACGCUGGCGGCAUGCCUUACACAUGCAAGUCGAACGGCAGCACGGGAGCAAUCCUGGUGGCGAGUGGCGAACGGGUGAGUAAAGUAUCGGAACGUGCCCAGUCGUGGGGGAUAACGUAGCGAAAGUUACGCUAAUACCGCAUACGAUCUAUGGAUGAAAGCGGGGGAUCGCAAGACCUCGCGCGAUUGGAGCGGCCGAUAUCAGAUUAGGUAGUUGGUGGGGUAAAGGCUCACCAAGCCGACGAUCUGUAGCUGGUCUGAGAGGACGACCAGCCGCACUGGGAGUCAGACACGGACCAGACUCCGGCGGGAGGCAGCAGUGGGGAAUUUUGGAGAAGGGGCGAAGGCCUGAUCCAGCCAUGCGGCGUGCAGGAUGAAGGCCUCCGGGUUAUAAACUGCUUUUGUACGGAACGAAAAGGUUUGGCCUAAUAAGCUGAGCUCAUGACGGUACUGUAAGAAUAAGCACCGGCUAACUACGUGCCAGCCGCCGCCGUAA